GUUUUUAUAAUAAUGGAAAUAAUUGGCAGCAGUCAACAGAAACACCAUAGUUGCUAUUCUCUUUAAUGCAAUUGUCCUGUGAGAAUUCCAGGUAUAAAAAAUGAACCCACCUAGUCAUCCAAAUUUUGGAUAAUAAUCUCUUGAUUUGUGAUUUUAUAUUUACAGAUUCAGCCAUAUCUUCCUAGGACCGAGCAACCAAAACUGGACCAAAGACCUUGGAUCCUCAGCAAUGGGGGUGCAUCUGGUGAUGGUGUUCAUGCUAAAUUUGUGCCAAGGGACACCUGUUCUUGUGGGAGAAUUAAUAAAUAUUUCACUUCUGUUUAGGUUUCUCAUCUGGGAACUGAACUGCUAUAAUCAAAUACAUAAAGAAAUUGAGCUGCCCCUGUCUGAAUUCAAUCUUCACCUUCUGAUGCUGAUGAAACAGGAUUCAAUGCAGGGCCUGGAGGAGUGA
rnacentral:lncRNA from 13 species